AACGAACGCUGGCGGCAUGCCUAACACAUGCAAGUCGAACGAGACCUUCGGGUCUAGUGGCGCACGGGUGCGUAACGCGUGGGAACCUGCCCUUAGGUUCGGAAUAACUCACCGAAAGGGGUGCUAAUACCGGAUAAUGUCUUCGGACCAAAGAUUUAUCGCCUUUGGAUGGGGCCGCGUUGGAUUAGCUAGUUGGUAGGGUAAAAGCCUACCAAGGCGACGAUCCAUAGCUGGUCUGAGAGGAUGAUCAGCCACACUGGGACUGCGACACGGCCCAGACUCCUACGGGAGGCAGCAGUGGGGAAUAUUGGACAAUGGGCGAAAGCCUGAUCCAGCAAUGCCGCGUGAGUGAUGAAGGCCUUAGGGUUGUAAAGCUCUUUUACCCGGGAUGAUAAUGACAGUACCGGGAGAAUAAGCUCCGGCUAACUCCGUG
rnacentral:rRNA from 1 species